CGGACGGGUGAGUAACGCGUAAAGAACUUGCCCUUUAGACUGGGAUAACAGAGGGAAACUUCUGAUAAUACUGGAUAAGUUAGUAUAUCGCAUGAUAUGCAAAUGAAAGCUACGGCACUAAAGGAGAGCUUUGCGUCCUAUUAGCUAGUUGGUAAGGUAAGAGCUUACCAAGGCGAUGAUAGGUAGCCGGCCUGAGAGGGUGGACGGCCACAAGGGGACUGAGAUACGGCCCUUACUCCUACGGGAGGCAGCAGUGGGGAAUAUUGGACAAUGGAGGGAACUCUGAUCCAGCAAUUCUGUGUGUGUGAAGAAGGUUUUAGGACUGUAAAACACUUUUAGUAGGGAAGAAAAAAAUGACGGUACCUACAGAAGAAGCAACGGCUAAAUACGUGCCAGCAGCCGCGGUAAUACGUAUGUUGCGAGCGUUAUCCGGAAUUAUUGGGCUUAAAGGGCAUCUAGGCGGUAAGACAAGUUGAAGGUGAAAACCUGUGGCUCAACCAUAGGCUUGCCUACAAAACUGUUGAACUAGAGUACUGGAAAGGUGGGUGGAACUACACGAGUAGAGGUGGAAUUCGUAGAUAUGUGUAGGAAUGCCGAUGAUGAAGAUAACUCACUGGACAGAAACUGACGCUGAAGUGCGAAAGCUAGGGGAGC
rnacentral:rRNA from 1 species